ACGGAAGGCAGCAGCUAAGAAUAUUCCGCAAUGGACGAAAGUCUGACGGAGCGACGCCGCGUGGAUGAUGAAGGUCGGAAGAUUGUAAAAUCCUUUUAUAACUGAGGAAUAAGUACUUUGAGAGAAACGGAGUAUGGUGACUGUAGGUUAUGAAUAAGCAACGGCUAACUACGUGCCAGCAGCCGCGGUAAUACGUAGGUUGCAAGCGUUGUCCGGAUUUACUGGGUGUAAAGGGCGUGUAGGCGGAGCUGCAAGUCAGAUGUGAAAUCCCGGGGCUCAACCCCGGAACUGCAUUUGAAACUGUAGCCCUUGAGUAUCGGAGAGGCAAGCGGAAUUCCUAGUGUAGCGGUGAAAUGCGUAGAUAUUAGGAGGAACACCAGUGGCGAAGGCGGCUUGCUGGACGACAACUGACGCUGAGGCGCGAAAGCGUGGGGAGCAAACAGGAUUAGAUACCCUGGUA
rnacentral:rRNA from 1 species